rnacentral:rRNA from 1 species
AAAGCAUGGGGAGCGACAGGAUUAGAACCCUGGUAGUCCAUGCCGUAAACGUGGGCACUAGGUGUGGGGACAUUCCACGUUUCCGCGCCGUAGCUAAGCAUUAAGUGCCCCGCCUGGGGAGUACGGCCGCAAGGCUAAAACUCAAAGGAAUUGACGGGGGCCCGCACAAGCGGCGGAGCAUGCGGAUUAAUUCGAUGCAACGCGAAGAACCUUACCAAGGCUUGGCAUGAACCGGAAAGACCUGGAAACAGGUCCCCCACUUGUGGCCGGUUUACAGGUGGUGCAUGGCUGUCGUCAGCUCGUG